AGAGUAUGAUCCUGGCUCAGAUUGAACGCUGGCGGCAGGCCUAACACAUGCAAGUCGAGCGCGAAAGCACUUCGGUGUGAGUAGAGCGGCGGACGGGUGAGUAACGCGUGGGAAUCUACCUGGUAGUGGAGGAUAACUCGAGGAAACUCGAGCUAAUACUGCGUACGCCCUACGGGGGAAAGCGGGGGAUCUUCGGACCUCGCGCUAUCAGAUGAGCCCGCGUCAGAUUAGCUUGUUGGUGAGGUAAUGGCUCACCAAGGCGACGAUCUGUAGCUGGUCUGAGAGGAUGAUCAGCCACAUUGGGACUGAGACACGGCCCAAACUCCUACGGGAGGCAGCAGUGGGGAAUAUUGCGCAAUGGGGGAAACCCUGACGCAGCCAUGCCGCGUGUGUGAAGAAGGCUUUCGGGUUGUAAAGCACUUUCAAUAGGGAGGAAAGGUUGCAGAUUAAUACUCUGUAGCUGUGACGUUACCUAUAGAAGAAGCACCGGCUAACUCCGUGCCAGCAGCCGCGGUAAUACGGAGGGUGCAAGCGUUAAUCGGAAUUACUGGGCGUAAAGCGCGCGUAGGCGGCUUCGUCAGUUGGAUGUGAAAGCCCCGG
rnacentral:rRNA from 1 species